GCGCACGUGGCGGAAUUGGUAGACGCGCUGCCUUGAGGGGGCAGUGAAUGCAAGUUCGUGGAAGUUCGAAUCUUCUCGUGCGCA
rnacentral:tRNA from 1 species